GGGGAAUAUUGGACAAUGGGCGCAAGCCUGAUCCAGCCAUACCGCGUGGGUGAAGAAGGCCUUCGGGUUGUAAAGCCCUUUUGUUGGGAAAGAAAUCCUAUCGGUUAAUAACCGGUGGGGAUGACGGUACCCAAAGAAUAAGCACCGGCUAACUUCGUGCCAGCAGCCGCGGUAAUACGAAGGGUGCAAGCGUUACUCGGAAUUACUGGGCGUAAAGCGUGCGUAGGUGGUGGUUUAAGUCUGCUGUGAAAGCCCUGGGCUCAACCUGGGAAUUGCAGUGGAUACUGGAACACUAGAGUGUGGUAGAGGGAUGCGGAAUUUCUGGUGUAGCAGUGAAAUGCGUAGAGAUCAGAAGGAACAUCUGUGGCGAAGGCGGCAUCCUGGGCCAACACUGACACUGAGGCACGAAAGCGUGGGGAGCAAAC
rnacentral:rRNA from 1 species